UACGUAGGGCGCAAGCGUUGUCCGGAAUUAUUGGGCGUAAAGAGCUCGUAGGCGGUCUGUUACGUCCGCUGUGAAAACCCAGGGCUUAACCCUGGGCUUGCAGUGGAUACGGGUAGACUAGAGGCAGGUAGGGGAGAAUGGAAUUCCCGGUGUAGAGGUGAAAUUCGUAGAUAUCGGGAGGAACACCAGUGGCGAAGGCGGCCACCUGGACGAACACUGACGCUGAGACUCGAAAGCGUGGGGAGCAAACAGGG
rnacentral:rRNA from 1 species